rnacentral:rRNA from 1 species
AUGCUGCUGGCCAUGACGACGGGGAUAGGCACCAGCUUCUACUCCUGCUGCUACCGUGCCAAGCUGCGGGAGGAGCACGGGCUCGCGGAGAAGCCCUGCGGCGACUGCUGCGUCCACUUCUUCUGCGGCCUCUGCGGCCUCUCCCAGGAGUACCACGAGCUCAAGAACCGCGGCUUCGACAUGAGCGCGGGAUGGGAAGCCAAUGCGGAGAGGAUGGGGAAGACCGCCGCGCCCUAUGUGAACUCCGGGAUGACUCGUUAG